UACGGGGGGGGCAAGCGUUGUUCGGAAUUACUGGGCGUAAAGGGCUCGUAGGUGGCCAACUAAGUCAGUCGUGAAAUCCCUCGGCUUAACCGGGGAACUGCGUCUGAUACUGGAUGGCUUGAGUUUGGGAGAGGGACGCGGAAUUCCAGGUGUAGCGGUGAAAUGCGUAGAUAUCUGGAGGAACACCGGUGGCGAAGGCGGCGUCCUGGACCAACACUGACACUGAGGAGCGAAAGCCAGGGGAGCAAACGGG
rnacentral:rRNA from 1 species